GCUUGGCUGGCUCAGCUGUAGAGCAUGGGACUCUUGGUCUUGGGGUCAUGAGUUCAAGCCCCAUGUUGGGUG
rnacentral:tRNA from 1 species